rnacentral:tRNA from 1 species
GCGCCCGUAGCUCAAAUGGAUAGAGCGGCGGACUACGAAUCCGUAGGCUGGGGGUUCGACUCCCUCCGGGCGCA